rnacentral:RNase_P_RNA from 1 species
GGGACAGGUUGGGCAAUCGCGGCGUUUCGACGCCGAGGAAGGUCCGGACUCCAUAGAGCAGGAUAGCGGCUAACGGCCGCCCGGCGAACCGGCAUGUGCGAGCAGGCCGGCUUGUUGAGGAACAGGGCCACAGAGACGAGUCUGCGGCGCGGGCAUGCCUGGCAUGCACUGACACGGCCACUUCCGUGUUGCGCGAACUGGCAACAGAACGCGGCGCAGCAGGGUGAAACGCGGCAACCUCUAUCCGGAGCAACAUCAAAUAGGCAUACGCAGGCCUUCGGGCCCAAAGGGCGGCUCGUUCGAGUAUGCGGGUAGGUGGCUAGAGCACGACAGCAAUGCCGUGCGUAGAGGAAUGAUUGCCAGCCAGGCUUGCCUGGUGUACAGAAUCCGGCCUAUAGACUUGUCCCGCCU